rnacentral:lncRNA from 13 species
AACACAAACAAACAGGGAAAAAGAAAGGCAACUUAAAUACAAUAGUAGAACAAAAAAAAAACAUGAUGGCGUACACCCAGAAAAAAUUAUUUUGUGUGGAGGUGCUGACUAAUGGCGAAUAAACUAAACCAAAAAAAUAAAGAGAGUCGCACACUCCAUAUAUAAACUCCCAGUAAUUUAUUUGGAAAAUCACCAAUGUUUCGGCAUCCAUGUGCCUUCUUCAAGGUGAGGCGUUGGCGAUUUGCCCAGUAAAUUACUGGAAGUUUAUAUAUGGAGUGUGCAACUAUCUUUAUAGUUUAUAACUUUAAAACAAUGCACAAUACUUUUCCAAUACAUAACUUACAGUAUCAAACCAAGUCGGAAAUGACUGUUUUAUUUAUUCCUUAUAUAUAUAUUCCUUAUGUGCUCAAUGUGAAACUAGGCUUUGGGCAACACCUGUACUGUCCAGUUUACAGAUGGACAUGUUCAGACAGUGUCUCACGGAACAAUUGGUUACCUUCCACUAUUCGGCUGAAUGAUCAACCCAUACGGUGUGAUGAGUAACAGGGACAGGGGGAGAGGGUGGCGAUUAUUAGCCCAUGGGCCAGCAUCAUGUGAUCGACCCAAUGUCUACCUCCUCUCCUGUUCCAACCAGCAACCAGGGAGCCUCAAACGGAAAGAUAGGAGAAGCACUCAACGACCUGUACUGGAGGCCUUGCCUGUUGAAGUUGGUAUUGGGAAUCGGGGGAUCAGCAUGGGAUGCAAGUUUCCAUCAUGGCUUCUCCAGCUGAGGCCUGGGGCUGAGUGUGCACCUGGUGUACCUGGACGAAAGUUCACCUAAGAAGCUGAGAGGAUUCCUGACCCUAACUAGCUCCAUCUUCAGUGGCUUCAGGAAGGUCAUGGUCAGAUUGUCAGUACCCUUGUUACUUAACCACCUAACUCGCGUCCUGUGGUCCGUUUACCCUUUCAGUGGUCAGUUGUUCUAGCCUGGUCAAGCAUACUGACCUCGGUGUUGUGCUCACAGUGCAGCGGUCACUCAGUCUGGUUUACGGGCUACAGUUCAUGUUCAUGACACCGUAAUACGUCCUCAGUACCCACAAUCACAGUGGAGUUACAUAGAUUGCAUCCAUAGAGUCAAAGAGGGCAACAUACAGGUUAGCUCGGCCACAGUGACAGUCUCAUUCUGUAAAAGAUGAAGCCAACUCUCUUGCCAUCUAUCUUACUUAGAGAAAGAGGAGAACUUUCAAGGUUCACACCAUUCUGUCAAAUCCCCUUCUGAAUGUUCCAGUUGACCGCCCUGAGCCUUCUCCACUCCAAAUCGGACCAGCUCAACCCCACCAUCAUGUGCCCUGGAUUACCCUGUCCUGGUCCGGCUGGGCUGAAGAACAAGAUUCUGAACAACUCAUCGGACAAAUUACUAGAAAUGGAAUCCCUUUGUAGCAUGAUGUUGUACACAUUUAUGGCAAAGUUCUCAAAAUAAAUAUGUGAAAUAAAUUCUAAUAGGAGAAUUUUAGCAAGUUUGGAGGUUGAUGUUCAAGUAUCAAACAUAGAAUUAGGAUGGAAGGAAGAAAGACACAGUGUGGUUGAGAGAGGACCUGUACUCAUGGUUUCCCUAUGUUAACAUUACCCUCAUCUUCUUUGUCAUCUGUAUUUAUGGACUAGGACCUUGUGAGUACAUCAUUUCUUAUGUAUUAUGCAUGUCUUAUUUUCACAAGUCUACAGCUGUAGGCUAAGUGGUGUGUGUACGAUUCCAGAUCUGAGUAUUGGGAGUCGAGUGAGCUACGUAGUGGUCAAAUGCUGCUCCAAGUCAACAUACACACAGAACCGCAAAGUUACAAACAUUUCAGUGAUCAAAAAGACUGCCAUUCUAGACAGUUGCAUAUCUCUGAGGUCCUACUGUCUGUCUGUACCCUUAUCUUUUGUCCGGGAAACUGUCAAAAAAUUUGUUUAAGUAAGGACUACUUGAUAUAACUUAGUGCCGAUUAAAAUUGUAUAUUCCCAUUGAUUAACCAACAAGACACUACAUUUGGGCCCUCUGUUUUCAUUUGACAGUCAACCGACUAAAUCUAUACCAUGAGCCCCAAUGAUAUAACACUGAAAACAAAAUAGCCCAUCAAAACAAUGUUGCUGGGCAAGAAAUGUCAUGACUGUCUUUCCUUUUCAACACCUAAAUGUCACCACUUUGGAGCCGAUGUCUAUGCAGAUUGGUUGUCUGGAGGUGAGUAGAAAUAUAUACUGAACAAAAAUCGAAACGCAACAUUCAACAAUUUCAAUGAUUAUACUGAGCUACAGUUCAUAUAGGGAAAUCAGUCCAUUGAAAUUUAACUAGGCACAAAUUUAUGGAAUUCCCAUGAGCAGGGGCGCAGCCAUGCGUGGGAUUGGGAGGUUAUAGGCCCACCUACUUGGGAGCCAGGCCCAGCCAAGAAUGAGUUUUCCCUCACAAAAGUACUUUAUUACAGAUCUCAAUACUCCUCAGACAGCCCCACACACACACACACACACNNNNNNNNNNAGUCUUCUCCUUGUAUGAGCUGAAAGUUUAGAGGGACGGCCAGGUCUUGGUAGAUUUGCAGUGGUCUGAUACUCCUUCCAUUUCAAUAUUAUCGCUUGCACAGUGCUCCUUGAGAUGUUUAAAGCUUGGGAAAUAUUUUUGUAUCCAAAUCCGGCUUUAAACUUCUUCACAACAGUAUCUCGAACCUGCCUGGUGUGUUCCUUGUUCUUCAUGAUGCUCUCUGCGCUUUUAACGGACCUCUGAGACUAUCACAGUGCAGGUGCAUUUAUACGGAGACUUGAUUACACACAGGUGGAUUGUAUUUAUCAUCAUUAGUCAUUUAGGUCAACAUUGGAUCAUUCAGAGAUCCUCACUGAACUUCUGGAGAGAGUUUGCUGCACUGAAAGUAAAGGGGCUGAACAAUUUUGCACGGCCAAUUUAUCAGUUUUUGAUUUGUUAAAAAAGUUUGAAAUAUCCAAUAAAUGUCGUUCCACUUCAUGAUUGUGUCCCACUUGUUGUUGAUUCUUCACAAAAAAAAUACAGUUUUAUAUCUUUAUGUUUGAAACCUGAAAUGUGGCAAAAGGUCGCAAAGUUCAAGGGGGCCGAAUACUUUCGCAAGGCACUGUAUAUGACAAUAUGGGCAUAGCCUGUGGUGUUAGUUUUUGUAGCUUACCUAUUAGUUUGUGUAGCUUACCUAUUAGUUUGUGUAGCUUACCUAUUAGUUUGUGUAGCUUGCCUAUUAGUUUGUGUAGCUUGCCUAUUAGUUUGUGUAGCUUGCCUAUUAGUUUGUGUAGCUUGCCUAUUAGUUUUUGUAACUGACCUAUUUGUUUUUGUAACCUCUCCCUCCCUUCUCUCGCUCACUCUCUCUCUCUUUCUUUCAAUCUUACUCUAUAUAUCUCUUUCCUCAUACCGCUCCCUCCUCUCUCUCACUAUAUGUGGUUUUAGGCCUGGGGCUGAGUGUGCACCUGGUGUACCUGGACGAAAGUUCACCUAAGAAGCUGAGAGGAUUCCUGACCCUAACUAGCUCCAUCUUCAGUGGCUUCAGGAAGGUCAUGGUCAGAUUGUCAGUACCCUUGUUACUUAACCACCUAACUCGCGUCCUGUGGUCCGUUUACCCUUUCAGUGGUCAGUUGUUCUAGCCUGGUCAAGCAUACUGACCUCGGUGUUGUGCUCACAGUGCAGCGGUCACUCAGUCUGGUUUACGGGCUACAGUUCAUGUUCAUGACACCGUAAUACGUCCUCAGUACCCACAAUCACAGUGGAGUUACAUAGAUUGCAUCCAUAGAGUCAAAGAGGGCAACAUACAGGUUAGCUCGGCCACAGUGACAGUCUCAUUCUGUAAAAGAUGAAGCCAACUCUCUUGCCAUCUAUCUUACUUAGAGAAAGAGGAGAACUUUCAAGGUUCACACCAUUCUGUCAAAUCCCCUUCUGAAUGUUCCAGUUGACCGCCCUGAGCCUUCUCCACUCCAAAUCGGACCAGCUCAACCCCACCAUCAUGUGCCCUGGAUUACCCUGUCCUGGUCCGGCUGGGCUGAAGAACAAGAUUCUGAACAACUCAUCGGACAAAUUACUAGAAAUGGAAUCCCUUUGUAGCAUGAUGUUGUACACAUUUAUGGCAAAGUUCUCAAAAUAAAUAUGUGAAAUAAAUUCUAAUAGGAGAAUUUUAGCAAGUUUGGAGGUUGAUGUUCAAGUAUCAAACAUAGAAUUAGGAUGGAAGGAAGAAAGACACAGUGUGGUUGAGAGAGGACCUGUACUCAUGGUUUCCCUAUGUUAAC